rnacentral:rRNA from 1 species
GAUGAACGCUGGCGGCGUGCCUAAUACAUGCAAGUCGAGCGAACAGACGAGGAGCUUGCUCCGCUGACGUUAGCGGCGGACGGGUGAGUAACACGUGGAUAACCUACCUAUAAGACUGGGAUAACUUCGGGAAACCGGAGCUAAUACCGGAUAAUAUAUUGAAGCGCAUGGUUCAUUAGUGAAAUACGGUUUUGCUGUCUCUUCUCGAUGGAUCCGCGCCGCAUUAGCUAGUUGGUAAGGUAACGGCUUACCAAGGCAACGAUGCGUAGCCGACCUGAGUGGGUGAUCGGCCACACUGGAACUGCGCCACGGUCCAUACUCCUACGGGAGGCCGCAGUAGGGAAUCUUCCGCAAUGGGCGAAAGCCUGACGGAGCAACGCCGCGUGAGUGAUGAAGGUCUUCGGAUCGUAAAACUCUGUUAUUAGGGAAGAACAAAUGUGUAAGUAACUAUGCACGUCUUGACGGUACCUAAUCAGAAAGCCACGGCUAACUACGUG